rnacentral:rRNA from 1 species
GACGAACGCUGGCGGCGUGCUUAACACAUGCAAGUCGAACGAUGAACCUCGAAAUGACAUCUUCGGAAGGAUUUUUGAGAGGAUUAGUGGCGAACGGGUGAGUAACGCGUGAGCAACCUGCCUUAGACAAGGGGAUAGCCUCGGGAAACCGUGAUUAAUACCCUAUGAGACUCCACUUACGAGUGUAAGAGAAGUUAAAGCUAUUGCGGUCUAAGAUGGGCUCGCGUCUGAUUAGCUAGUUGGUGAGAUAAAAGCCCACCAAGGCGACGAUCAGUAACCGGCUUGAGAGAGUGAGCGGUCACAUUGGAACUGAGACACGGUCAAAACUCCUACGGGAGGCAGCAGUGGGGAAUAUUGCACAAUGGGGGGGGAACCCUGAUGCAGCGACGCCGCGUGAGCGAUGAAGGAAUUCGUUGCGUAAAGCUCUGUCCUUGGAGAAGAUAAUGACGGUAACCAAGGAGGAAGCACCGGCUAAAUACGUG